AUUGAAUGCUGGCGGCAUGCCUUACACAUGCAAGUCGAACGGCAGCGGACCUUCGGGUGCCGGCGAGCGGCGAACGGGUGAGUAACAUAUCGGAACGUACCUUUCAGUGGGGGAUAACGUAGCGAAAGUUACGCUAAUACCGCAUAUUCUGUGAGCAGGAAAGCAGGGGAUCGCAAGACCUUGCGCUGAUUGAGCGGCCGAUAUCAGAUUAGCUAGUUGGUGAGGUAAAGGCUCACCAAGGCGACGAUCUGUAGCGGGUCUGAGAGGAUGAUCCGCCACACUGGAACUGAGACACGGUCCAGACUCCUACGGGAGGCAGCAGUGGGGAAUUUUGGACAAUGGGCGCAAGCCUGAUCCAGCCAUGCCGCGUGAGUGAAGAAGGACCUCGG
rnacentral:rRNA from 1 species